rnacentral:rRNA from 1 species
CCCUUAGAUGUUCUGGGCUGCACGCGUGCUACACUGAUAUUGCCAAUAUGUCAUUCUUAUCCGAAAUGGAUUGGGUAAUCAAGUAAUGAAAUUUCAUGCUUGGAAUCGGUAAUUGCAAUUUUAUCGUGAACGAGGAAUUCCUAGUAAGCACUAGUCAUCAGCUAAUGUUGAUUAUGUCCCUGCCCUUUGUACACACCGCCCGUCGCUACUACUGAUUGGGUGUUCAAGUGAGAUGUUUAGACCCUUGUUGCAUGGUUCAUUAUUGUGCUCCGAAAGGAAAAAGUUUCAAGCUUGAGUGUCUAGAGGAAGUAAAAGUCGUAACA